ensembl:lncRNA
AAGCAAGGGAAGGUCAAAGCUACCGCUCUUAGACUUGCUGGAAAGGACUGAGAUUCUUGAUGGGAAGUCACAUCUAAAGAUAAAAAACACCUGUCUGCAAAUUCUUCGAGGCUUUUUAACAAGGGCCAGGAAUGUUAGCUACAUGAUGUGAUUUGUCCCAUCCUGAGAGCAAUCACCUGGCUUGGGACGCUCCAAUUCCCUUUUUAAGUAACCAUCUGUUGGUGUCACUGAGGGGAGAGAGAGAAGCUGUAGUAGUGGAAAGAACACAGCCUACUGAGUCAAGCAGAUCAGAGGUUUACUCAUGUCUCUACCAGUUUCCAGCUGUUACAACCUGGCGUGCUUUAAUUCUGAAGAGCAGUUGCUUGCUGCGGUCUCUUCCUUCUGCUGAGAAAUAAGAUUCUUAAGGACAAGCAUUUGUAUUUUCCAGGAAUGAUGCUAGGCACACAACUUAAACCUAUUUUCCAGCCUUCCUUGGAUUUAUGUGCGGCCAAGUCACUGAGUUCAGCUGAUGGAAAGUAGACAGAAGUGAUAUGAGUCACUUUCAUUUCUGUCCCAUAUAAUCUUUGCAGGCAGACUCCUGCCUACCUGUCCCUCCUGCUUAGCGCAAACAAGAAUGGUGAUCUGAAUCCAUAUAUUGAAAAUGGCAGAACCACAAGAUGGAAGGCAUUUGGGCCGCUGAAUAGCUAUGGGGAAGGAGAGCUUAGAUCUCACAAUUUGAGAAACUUUUAUUAUAUUAAACUUCUAAAAUUAGGAAUUUUAUGUUAGCAAGUAUUACCCCCAAUGAAUCCUAAGCAGGCAGGAUGCUCAGUCGUUCUUGUCCCUUUGUGCCUUGUCAGUGAGAGGAGCUGCUGUUCCUCCAUGGCUUCCUGCUCCGGUGAGCUCAGUGCCCUAAGUCAGGACCCGAGGCUGCCUCUUAAGCAGAGCUGAUUAUUUGUCUUGUGGCCACUGCGCUGCUGGUGCCUGUAUUGUUGGGGCAGGGCUGCCAUCUUCUAUGCUGGCUAGAAAAAUGGACCCAGCUCUCCCCCAAGGUGGACCCCACUGUUUCCAUCUGGAGAGCAUGUCAUAUACCCCUAGUGUCUUGAUUCACAAUCUCGUGUCCCCCAUUCAGUUUUAGCCAAAGCUAUGGUGAAAGUUCCUGAGUGGGCUUCGCAGGUUCCCACGAUGGUCUUUCAUUUCUUCCCCUGGUGUUUCUCUGACUUCCCCGACAUUGCUAGGCACUCAUUCAUCAAACAAAUAUGCCCAGCCCGGAGGUGGGGCAACACUCAACCAAUGGGUUUGGGAUUCAACAGAUAUAUACUUCCAGGUUGGUCUUGGGAGCACCAUUCUGAGAGGCAUUUUAAAUACUCCUUGGUAGGUCCCAGGUGGGACCAAGACCCAGAUGCUCACACCAGUGACCUUAGUAAUACACACAUAUGUGGUUGUUUCUUCCUUCCCUCACCAUCCCCAGCCUCUCAGUGUUGCUCCCUGAGUAGCACACCCACACCCCAGUCUCUGUUUUUGGGGAAGCCAAGCUAAAACAGGCGGUGAUAGGAUGCCCACUCUGGCCUCAUGUCUAAGCUUUGUCUUAAGUUCAACUUUGCAUUAUACUGUGGCAGAUAUUGAGCACUUCAUUAAAGCUGACUACUCUCCAUUCUCAAUUUCUUCUUACGUCCCCUCUCCAUCCGUUAGACCCUGGUGGAGAUGAGGGGCUAGUCAUGCGCUCCUCAUAAUCUCUAACAGAUACUGGGCCUGAGAAGAUUCACUGUGUCCAAAACCAGAGGGAUAGACCCCCUAAAGAAUUCUAACUCAGUGAUGUUUAUUUCAGGCUAAGGAUU